CCGCCGCCGCCGUUCGCCGGGAGUCCAUUAUUAUCGCCCCAGUUCUCCUUGCGCUACCACUCAAACGCAGCGUGGAGCUAUUGCGCAUAACAGGAAAAGAGCAUGAAGAGCGCAUGCGCAGCUAUGGCCCUACUAACUCCCAGUCUUUCCUAGUAUCCUGCCAACGGCCGUCGUGUAUCAUUGAAUUAUAAAAAAGUUACCGCAAAACCAACAAAGAGUCUUCUGGCACUUUAAGCCUAACAAAUGUAUUACGGCAAAAGUUUUCGUAGACGACAUCUCACUUUACUAAAAUAGACCACCAUAUUCUGUAUUGAGAUAAUAGUUCUUGAUUCGGAAUGAGAAGCUAUUCCGUGGGGCGGAAAUGAGACCUUUCCAAGGAGUCAAUGGAGAAAUCGAAGAUUUUAGAGAAGCUGUGAUAGUGCAGCAGGUAUUUUCACAGACUGCAAAAGACACCGGUGAAAAUAGGAUUGUCAGGUUUCCGGUUUUCAUCCAGAGAUUUUUGGGGUCCUCUCUGGCCUCUGGGAUCCUGCUUUCUUCUCUGUUUGAACUCAGAUCAGAUAACAGAGGGAGAAGGAAAGGUGAAGCAAGCCAAUGGGAAUCCAACAGAAGCAAGAGGCAUGGAAGGAGAUGGAGUUGGAACCACCCACACAGGAAAUAGCAGGGCCAAGUUUUUCUGUCUCCUUUUUUUUUGGAAUAUACCUGUAUGAGAAAAUACAGAUUAAGGGAGGAAAAAGUGUGGGAAGGCAGUGAUUGGAGAAUGUUGUAUGGACAACAGAAAAUUAAUGGACAUACAAGAAGCCUACUGUGUGUUUAACAGAUUAGUUUGAAGUAAGCAUAGACAGCUUUGGAGAGUACCUGCAGCCCCCACUGCCAAGCCUAAGCCUAAGGGGGUUUCUCACACAACCAAGAACUUGAAAUCAUGUGUAAGGCUACUAGGCUGAUUCCCUUCACAAUUCCUCAUCCAGCCCCCCAUGUGGCUGCAAUGGAGGAGCAUUGGCCAUGCAUGAUUAAUGUACCAUCAUGUUCCGUGAUCUCCUCCUGAGGGCCCGUGACACAACAAAGGGGAGGAAUACCAUCUCAAGAAAAGAGGGGCAAGGGAGGUGGUUUCUGCUGAGCUUGAAAAAAAAAUCAAUUUGCUUCCCCAUCUCAAAUCUGUCACGCUCAAGCACUAAGGCACUGGGUACAGCCAGGCUCUAUAUCCUAACCCCAACCAUCUACCACUACUAGGCUCCAUUCCUGUCACACCAGCUUCUACCUUCUAUCUGCCAGGUACCACCCUUUAGCUCCUAUGCUGUCCCCAAGCCCCAGGAAGACAAGCAAUCCUAGAUAAUGGGAGGGUAGAAGAAACAGUAACGGGCCAGUUUAGAAGACAGAAAUGCAGUGGGCUUCUGAUCCCUUCUAUUGCCAGUUUUAGGGAGCUCCUCACUAGAUACUAGAAACAACUCUCUGCCCUCUCUCAGCAGUUUCCAACAACAGAGCAGGCAAAAAUGAACUAGCUGCUGGUGAACCAUCCUACCCAAGUAACAGCCUGUGUUUGGCUUGGUGGAGCAAACAUUGUAUACUAUAAAUCAAAUGUUUUAAGAACAGCAACAAUGUCUACCCCCCCCCCCGGUUGAGUUUAAUUUAGGUUGGAUUACACAGGGUAGUUACAGAAAUGCAGAAACUCAGAUAUAUAGAUGCAAGGAAGAUUCAGCAGCCAGUAGCUAAACUAUCAAAUUCACCCAAGAGGUAGUGAUGGCAACCAGCUCGGAUGACUUGAAAAGAGGGUUAGACAAAUUCAUGGACAAUAAUGCUAUCAGCCACAAUGGCUUUCUUUCUCCGCUGUCAGAGGCCUCUAAAUAUCAGUUGCUGGGAUUCACAAGUGGGGAGAAUGCUGAUAUACUCAGAUCCUGUUUGUGGGUUUCUCUCAGGGAUCUGGCUGGCCACUGUGAGAACACAAUGCUGGCCUAGAUGGGCCUUUGGCCCGCUCCCAGUGCUCUUAAGUGCUUGUCAUGAUCACUGCGGUCCCUCUGGCCAGCAUCACUAACUCCUUCCUUCCACUCUUUGAGCUAGGACGGAGAGUGUCAUACCUAUAGUUGACCUAUAUGAAUGAGGCCCUCCGAACACUUGUGACAUGCUAGAGAACAGGCACAAGUCCCAGCCCUCCUCUUGACCUGCUUCAUAUCAUUAUGGGAUUUGGAGGUUGAAAUGGAUGAUUUCUACGAAUCCCCUUUCCAGCCUCUGAUUUGGGAUCUGCAAACGGAGAAACUUGCCCUACUGGUGAGACUAGUUCCAUUCAUAAGUUUAUGGAUGCAGCUAAGUCUGUCAAGUACACCCAUUAACAAGGGUAAGAACUGGCCAGGAGAGGAAUGUUGACAGUAAGAUCUCUUUCAGGAGAGAGGCCCUUUUCCCACCCCACCCCAAUCACCUGGUGGGGGCCCACUCAUGCUGGAGCCAGGAAGUGGUUAGUAUUAGAGCAAGGAAAGGCUGGGAACUUAAAAAAGGGAAACUCACUUGCUCUGUGUCUGAAGGGACCCCAAAGGUAUGGGCCUUGGGGAGCAAGAUCUGAUGGACUAUUAAUGUGGAGAAUCAUCCAUCUUAUGCUCAGACUGUGAAUAUGUGUAAAUAAAUAAUAUAAAGUCUCUGUUGACCUGCUUUCCACAGGAAACCAAGCCUUGAGUAAACAACGGCACCCCUGGAAGUCUUGUACCGCUUGGCAAUUGGGGUAGAAUGCAACAAUAUUAAUAGGGUGCUGUAAUAGCAGGCAAGAUGUGGGGCUAAUGCCCUAAAUAACAGAAUUGAAACCCGUCUGCGGAAGGCAAACUUCCAAGGCAGACCACUGAAAAGUAACAGCCUGAAGGUGCCUGUCUGUAUCUGCCCUGCUCACAGCCCAGCCAGGGGAACAGUGCCAAACUCAGUCUGAGCAUCCAGUCCUUAGUAAGUUGUAAUCAGCAAACGUAAGCAGAAAUCAUAAAGGAGUCAUUGCCACACAAUGGGAAGCAAGAAACUCCAAGCCAGUGUGCAGGCAGAUGGGGAGAGAAAGAUGUCAGGCUACUAAAAAGAGCAUGUAGAAAGGAUGUGCAUCUAAUGCCUCAGACUUCUUGACCUUCCUUCUAUUUCAAACCUGGAGAAAUGUAACUGCAAAUAGACUUUGAUGUGUCACACUAACAGCAUGUCUAGGGUGAAGAUGCAUCCCAGAAUAUCACUGUUUUUACCGGCAGUGACUGAUAAGAAAGAGGGUGUAUGCACAAGGCUAUUGCUAUCUGCCACAGAAAGGCAUCUGAUGUGGAGAAUAAAGCUUAUAAACAAAUUCUAUCAAGAAUGGAAGGAAAGAGACCAGCUAUCAUUAAAAUUGAUUUUUAUUUGA